rnacentral:lncRNA from 1 species
UCGUGAUGAGAUCAUGAUAAUGAGAUCGAUUCGCCUUUAAACACAUAUUCUAAAUAAUCCCGGUCAUAGGUUACUUGAGAGGGAUAUCGAAAUAAUCGGACAGAUUGGUAUGUUGUAUACCCAUCCAUAUGAUUGAUGCAGUCGGUCUCAUAGUUGCUCAUGUGGGGACACUAGGGAUACAAUACAAGUGCUCAUUGGGGAAUGAGUUCAUUGAUUGAUCCGCUUACGGAAUGUUGGAUGGUUGAU